rnacentral:rRNA from 1 species
AGCGAACGCUGGCGGCAGGCCUAACACAUGCAAGUCGAACGAACCCUUCGGGGUUAGUUGCGGAUGGGUGAGUAACACGUCGGAACGUGCCUGUAGGCUCGGAAUAACACAUUGAAACGUGUGCUAAUACCGAAUGUGUCCCUCGGGUGCAAGAUUUAUCGUCUCUAGAGCGGCCCGCGUCUGAUUAGCUAGUUGGUUGAGGUAAUGGCUCACUAGGGCGACGAACAUUAGCGGGUCUGAGAGAAUGAGCAGACACAUUGGGACUGAGACACGGUCGAAACUCCUACGGGAGGCAGCAGAGGGGAAUCUUGCGAAAUGGGCGAAGGCAUGAAGCAGCCAUGCCGCGUGAAUGAUGAAGGUCUGAGGAUUGUAAAAUUCUUUCACCGGCGACGAUAAUGACGGUACCCGGAGAAGAAGCCCCGGCUAACUUCGUG